ACCUUUAGUUGUAAUUACUCACUUUCUAUUUCUUCCGAUUAAAUAUGGAAAACUUCUUAAGCACUCUGAAAAAUUUAUUGUAUGAUAUUGUACUAAAAAUUCAAGGUAUAAAAAGUGUGCUCUGCUGAUGAUUUAUUGAAUUCUUAUAUUGUUCUACUUUUUUAAUUCGUAUUAAUGCUUGGGAUACUAAACACAUAAGCUUUACAUAUAAAAGCGUGUUACGUAUGGAAAUGUUUAAAUAAUAAACUUUAUUAUGUAUCACACUUGCUAAAUCAAUCCCAUAAUCGGUGCUAGCAUUUGAAAAUAUAAUAAAUCCGAAUAUACACAUGCCUUCAUUGUAUAAUGAGUCACUGAAUUCAAAAUUCAAAACAAUUAUUAGCUUCCUAUCUAUUUCGGAUUACUAAUGGAAAGACUUCCUAAGCAUGAAGAUUUUUUUGUACGAUAUUCAUUCAAAAUUCAAAAACUGUAAAGCUACCUAUUAAAAUAUAGUUAAAAUAUUUUCACAAGAAUACAUUAAAAAAGGUAAUAUUAUACCCCGUUAAAUUUGUUAAUUAGUUAUUUUGAUAUUUUACUUUUUUAUUUUGAUUAAUUUAAUUGAUAUCAUAUAUACGUGUAAAUCUGUAUAUUUGCCUACCUUUCAUUGUAAUAGUAUUACUUCAACUAUUUCCUUCGAUUUCAAAUUUCGUCAAACAUGUGACCUCUCCCUGUCAGUUCGCAUCUUCUCUGAGAUGCUUCAGCGAUGGUGAUUUUUCAUCGGAGGGUAAGCCACUUUUAUGGAUGCAGCUGAUUCGCGUCACCAGGUUCAUUCUCUCCGCCCUCUUCAUCUCCUCAUUCUAUUUCCCUCUCAUCCCCUGCUCCAACCCAUCAAUCGAAACUAUAAUUCACUCACCCACGAUUUUUGUUGAUUUCAUGUUUCAGGGAUUUGAGAAAGGUUGGAAUAGUUUUGGGUAAAUAAAAUAUAUAUGUUGUGAUAUAGAACUUGAGAUUAGUUUUUUUUUAGCAUUUUUCUCUAACUCUUCGUGUUUUUUGUUGAUGUUAUAGGUAUCUAAAUGGGGAAAAAUAGUGGUUUGUGUUUGUCUUUUAUUUAUUCUGAAUUAAAUUUAUUUUGAUUUUGUUAUAGUUUGUCAUGUAUGAUUUCUAAUUUAUAAUUACUAUAAAUCAGAGGCAUAAAGUGUUUGUUAUGAGCAAACAAAAUUCAACCAGGAUUGUGGCAUAUCAAGGCUGGUAAUUUAAUAUUUUUAUGUCAUGGAACCACAUUGCUUACACUAUUAUUUCAUUACUGGUAUAUUUGAUUUUGCUCAAACUUUUAAUGUUUGGUAUUAAUUAGUUUUGCUUAGUGUCAUGUUCUUUUUUAAAAAUAUGAAUGAUCAUUUUGAGAUUUUGUUCGUUAAUGUGUCAUAAGACUUCUAUUUCUUAUUGUGUAGUUAGUGAAUUAUUCUUUUAAAUUUCAUUUAUACACUAAUUUAUAAUGUGUGUUUUGUGUAAUUUAUUCAGAAGGUUUCCUAUUUGGCUGGACAUACUUCUGGGCAUUAGCUUGAGGACAUACAAUGAGCCAUUCAAGGUUACAAGGAGUCUCAAGGAGGCCCUAUCAUGCUCUCUCAGGAUUAAUACAUGUAAUGGUUUCUACUGAAGUGAAUUCUUCCCAAAAGACCCUAUAAACCUUCAAUUUGGACAGAAGCCUGGAAUGGAUGUUGUGUAUGUGUGUGUGUGUGAUUUUAUACUUCUUUAAAGGCUAAAAUUUUAAACUGUCAAAUUGAUCCAAUUUUGGUGUGCAAACUAACAGGUUCCCCGACUUUGGAAGCCCAACAUAUAAGAGACGAGUUCAGGAUUUGGCAUUUGCAAAACAAAUUUAGGUGGUAAUUGCACAUCUGCUGAUCGAGGAGCGAACUUCUCUUAUUGUCGUUGAUCAUAAUGCCAGGGAUCAAACUAUGUCACUACUGGACACAAGAUUAAAUGUAUAAAUGCGUCAAGGGCGUGGUCCGAGUAUCAGUGCAUUGUUUAAUAUCAAGUAAUGAACAUGAUUAUGACCGAGUUGAUAUCCUCCUGAUGGGAACUCCUCUGGAGGAUAUUAUGCAGAUCAUUGAGGUCAAGGUGGUGGCUUCACUAAAAUAUUAUCACUAAGAUAUUUCAUUGAACAGAGAAUUGUGUUUUUUUUUUAUUUUCUGGGUGUGGUCAGUACUCCAUACUGUCGGGCAUCCGACUUCAGGCCUGGAUCGACUACUGACAUGUAUGUUCUGUUUUUUGUUUUUUCUUAAUUCUGUUUCAGAGAAAAAUGCGAUAUCAAUCACUACAAAUAAGUUUUUAUCCGGUAUUUCAAAUCAUUUGUCAUGUUUAACAAGAUCUAGAUUUCAAAUCAAUUUGGAACUGAUAAUAAUCUUCGCUUCUCCAGAUUUCUAAUUCUUGAAUCUUAUUGUCGUCCACAGGUUGGUAUUUUCCUCUCCUACAUGAUUGCUUGGAGUAGAUAUUAGUAGCUUGACCUCGGUAUUCCUAGAUUAGCUUUGCACGAAGACAUUCGGUUACGUGUGUUAAUGUUAUCUGAUUAUAUGGUGCAUCUUACGAAUGUUACACGAAGGUGAUUGCCUAAUGGAACCAACAAAGACAGAAAAUCUUCUAAUUACAGAAAUUCAUAGGAUGAAUGGAUUCUGCUUGGUCCAGACCUACACCGUUGAUAUGAAUGUCAGUGACUUUUUUCUAGGUAAGCUAUCAAAAUUUUAUUAUUAUCUCGGAGAAUCUUGAGUGGCUGCAUCAGCAAUAGCUUGAUCUGAUGACAGUAAAAGAGCCUGAAUGACUAAAUAUAAAGUAGCUACUGGCACUUAGCAAAAGAGAAAAAUACACCGAGGCAUGGAGAAAAAUAACUAUAUUGUUUCAUUUAAAAUAAAAUUGAGUUUGUAAAACUUUUUUUGG